CUGGUGUUCUUCCGAAUAUCUACGAAUUUCACCUCUACACUCGGAAUUCCACUCACCUCUCCUGGAUUCAAGCGAUGCAGUCUAAAAGGCAGUUCUGGUGUUGAGCACCAGGCUUUCACCUCUUACUUACAAAGCCGCCUACGUGCGCUUUACGCCCAGUAAUUCCGAAUAACGCUAGCUCCCUCCGUAUUACCGCGGCUGCUGGCACGGAGUUAGCCGGAGCUUAUUCUCCCGGUACUGUCAUUAUCAUCCCGGGUAAAAGAGCUUUACAACCCUAAGGCCUUCAUCACUCACGCGGCAUUGCUGGAUCAGGCUUUCGCCCAUUGUCCAAUAUUCCCCACUGCUGCCUCCCGUAGGAGUCUGGGCCGUGUCUCAGUCCCAGUGUGGCUGAUCAUCCUCUCAGACCAGCUAAGGAUCGUCGCCUUGGUGCGCCUUUACCACACCAACUAGCUAAUCCUACGCGGGCUCAUCCCUAGGCGAUAAAUCUUUGGACUUACGUCAUCAUCCGGUAUUAGCAGUCGUUUCCAACUGUUAUUCCGAACC
rnacentral:rRNA from 1 species